rnacentral:rRNA from 1 species
GACGAACGCUGGCGGCGUGCCUAAUACAUGCAAGUAGAACGCUGAAGAGAGGAGCUUGCUCUUCUUGGAUGAGUUGCGAACGGGUGAGUAACGCGUAGGUAACCUGCCUGGUAGCGGGGGAUAACUAUUGGAAACGAUAGCUAAUACCGCAUGACAUUGAUUAUCGCAUGAUAAUUGAUUGAAAGAUGCAAUUGCAUCACUACCAGAUGGACCUGCGUUGUAUUAGCUAGUUGGUGAGGUAACGGCUCACCAAGGCGACGAUACAUAGCCGACCUGAGAGGGUGAUCGGCCACACUGGGACUGAGACACGGCCCAGACUCCUACGGGAGGCAGCAGUAGGGAAUCUUCGGCAAUGGGGGGAACCCUGACCGAGCAACGCCGCGUGAGUGAAGAAGGUUUUCGGAUCGUAAAGCUCUGUUGUAAGAGAAGAACGGGUGUGAGAGUGGAAAGUUCACAACUGUGACGGUAUCUAC